GGACUCAGAUCGACUCAGACCAAUCACUGUUGUCUGGCUGCAACAUGGCUACGUCCGUAUAGCAGAAAAAUGGCGAAAGAAUUUGACUUGAUUUCGCUGUAGCUGGAAGAAAGGCUAAACAUGGUAGACUAUCCAGUUUUAGAGAAAACUAAAGAAAAACAGACAGACCAGGAGAGACAAGAGCUGGAGGAAAAACUUCACUACAGAAUAAGAUCAGAGGAAUCUGAUUUUGUCUUUUUAAUAACACAUUUUUUCCUCUUUAAGAAAGCGUUCUUUUUCCACUUGAUUCUUUUCAUAGUUUCCUCACAGCUGAUAACUACAUUUGGAGGACGAACACGACGAUUUACUGGAGUCCUCCAACAGAAACUGUCAUGGGUCCACUAGAACCUGGAUCCGAAUCUACCAGAAGAGGGAGAAGAAGUGACAGGGGCGGAGCUACGGAGUUGCAAGGGGCGGGGGCUGCCCUCAGCAAAGAGCUCUGCUGCACCUCCCCCCAAAAUGCAGUAGAGCACUUAUGAUGAAUUUCUUUUAAUUUUUGAUGAUUUGGGUUUGUCUGCACCACAGGCUACCUUCAGGCAUCCUUGAUUUAUUUUGCAACACUAAUAUUUCAUCCUAAAAGGGUACAAAGAAGAUAAUUGAUGAUCACAACAGACUUUAUUGUGGAGCUUUUAGGAGUUUAUAGUCAUAUUUGCAUUUUUCCCUACAUAUUCUAUGUAAAACAACACGUUUUUAUGUAAAAAAAAAAAAAAAA